rnacentral:rRNA from 1 species
GAUGAACGCUAGCUACAGGCUUAACACAUGCAAGUCGAGGGGCAGCGGGGGGCGCGCUUGCGCGUCCCGCCGGCGACCGGCGCACGGGUGAGUAACACGUAUGCAACCUGCCCCCGCCAGGGGUACAACCCUCCGAAAGGGGGGCUGAUACCGCGUACAUCCCCCGGGGGCAUCCCCGGGGGAGGAAAGCCCUACGGGGCGGGCGGGGAUGGGCAUGCGGCGCAGUAGGAAGACGGCGGUGUGACGGACCACCGUUCCGACGAUGCGUAGGGGUUCUGAGAGGAAGGCCCCCCACACUGGUACUGAGACACGGACCAG